rnacentral:rRNA from 1 species
UAGUCCACGCCGUAAACGAUGAGAACUAGACGUUGGGUUCAUUUAAGGGCUUAGUGUCGCAGCUAACGCGUGAAGUUCUCCGCCUGGGGAGUACGGCCGCAAGGUUAAAACUCAAAGGAAUUGACGGGGGCCCGCACAAGCGGUGGAGCAUGUGGUUUAAUUCGAUGCAACGCGAAGAACCUUACCUACCCUUGACAUCAUCAGAACUUGUCAGAGAUGACUCGGUGCCUUCGGGAACUGGUUGACAGGUGCUGCAUGGCUGUCGUCAGCUCGCGUCGUGAGAUGUUGGGUUAAGUCCCGCAACGAGCGCAACCCUUGUCCCUAGUUGCCAGCAUUCAGUUGGGCACUCUAGGGAGACUGCCGGUGACAAACCGGAGGAAGGUGGGGAUGACGUCAAGUCAGCAUGCCCCUUAUGCUCUGGGCUACACACGUGCUACAAUGGCCGUGACAAAGAGUUGCUACUUUGUGAAACAAGCUAAUCUCAUAAACGCGGCCUCAGUUCGGAUU